rnacentral:lncRNA from 1 species
UGGCAGGAAGCAGGAAGCAGGAAGCAGGAGGCAGGAGGCAGGAGGCAGGAAGCAAGAAGCGGCCUUUCUUCCAUACUUAAGGGGAGAACCAGGUAGGACUCAUGGAGAUGAGGCUCUCAUGGGACUGUGGUCCCCAGAACGGGCCCCCAAGCCUCACCACGCCACCUCUGCCGUCAGCCCCAGGCGUCCAGGUGUCCGCCUGCAAGCUGAGGACCUGCCCACGCCCCGGCAAUGAAACGUCCAACACCAUAUAGUGAAUCAUCUGUUGCCUCGGCUGAUCUGUGAUGCCUCACAGGAACCUUGGCUCAGCGUCCCUCUCCCAGGUGAUUGGGCACAGCUCUUCCAAACACGCAGCCAAGACGCAGGUGGGACCCCACGGAGCCUACAAAUGAACUUUGGAAGAAGCUUCGGGAUUGUAAUAUUUCGGCACGGCCUGUCCCGUGACGCCCGCUGUCUCUCUGGUCUCCCAGGAAGACUCCACAGAGCUCUGCACAAUGAUCUCAAAGUUUUCUCAUAACUGCAUUCGUGGGAAUCCCACGGGGUGUUUGUGUUGUUGCCACUGUGAGCGGGGACCCCUGAUCUCAUUAUGUUUUCCGACCAGCUGUUGUGGGUACAGAUGAGAAUGACUGACUUGUGUGUGUCUGUUCAAUAACCAGCCUGCUACUUUCGCCAAGUUCUCCAGUGAACACUUCAGUGGCUUCUUGGUUUCCUCAGGCCUCCGAUCAGGCUGCCGGCAAAUGAUUACAAUUCUUUCCCAGAGACAGCGCAUUUAAUUCUGUUUCAUGUCUUAUUGCUAUGUCCAGGAUUUCUGGACAAUGAUAAAGAGCUCUGUUGCUGGUGUUUGUUUUUUUUUUUAAAUAAAAGUUUUUGAAC